rnacentral:rRNA from 1 species
GUCGAGCGAAGCGUAUUAGCGGAAGUUUUCGGAUGGAAGCGGAUAUGACUUAGCGGCGGACGGGUGAGUAACGCGUGGAUAACCUGCCUCAUACAGGGGGAUAACAGUUAGAAAUGACUGCUAAUACCGCAUAAGCGCACAGGACCGCAUGGUCCGGUGUGAAAAACUCCGGUGGUAUGGGAUGGAUCCGCGUCUGAUUAGCUGGUUGGUGAGGUAACGGCCCACCAAGGCGACGAUCAGUAGCCGACCUGAGAGGGUGGCCGGCCACAUUGGGACUGAGACACGGCCCAAACUCCUACGGGAGGCAGCAGUGGGGAAUAUUGCACAAUGGGGGAAACCCUGAUGCAGCAACGCCGCGUGAGUGAAGAAGUAUUUCGGUAUGUAAAGCUCUAUCAGUAGGGAAGAAGAAAGACGGUACCUGACUAAGAAGCCCCGGCUAACUACGUGCCAGCAGCCGCGGUAAUACGUAGGGGGCAAGCGUUAUCCGGAUUUACUGGGUGUAAAGGGAGCGUAGACGGCUGUGCAAGUCUGAAGUGAAAGCCCGUGGCUCAACCGCGGAACUGCUUUGGAAACUGUAUGGCUUGAGUACUGGAGAGGCAGGCGGAAUUCCUAGUGUAGCGGUGAAAUGCGUAGAUAUUAGGAGGAACACCAGUGGCGAAGGCGGCCUGCUGGACAGAAACUGACGUUGAGGCUCGAAAGCGUGNGGAGCAAACAGGAUUAGAUACCCUGNUAGUC